UUGACACACACCUUUAUAUUGCACGAUUUUUGCCAAUGUAGUAGCCAUUUUGCCAGUCUUCCAAAUGCUAUUUCUCAGAAUCUCAAAGCAAGACAAAUUACAUUAUAAAACAGGAAAUGAUGCUUUCUAGGUCAGCAUCUUAGGGAACCUGAGAAAAUGAGACAAUGGUCAAGUCCUUGGAAAACUACUUAUAACGUUUGUUGUCCAGUCUCUGUGCAAUGGGAAAGCACAGGAUUUAUCUGAAGUCCUGGCUAGAAUAGUCUGUGAGGCUGGACUGUCUCAGUCAGCAGCCUUGAAACUAUUCUGCAUGCAGAACUCAGCUAAACUGCAACAGGGACAGUCUGAGAGCCUGGAUCACCUGGGCUACUCAUUUUCUCUGUUCUCUGUCCCCUUGCUCUAAAAUCACACAAACUUUCAAAGGUAACAUACGCAUGAGCAUUAACACAAGUAUGGACUGUAUGUUGUAUACAAGCCAGCCAAAGAUAAUUUUUUGUUUUACGUUUAAGCAGGUAAAAUAUGCAUCCCCUGUCUAGCAGUUUUUCUAGGUUUAUUUAUUUAUAUCUGUAGCCAGAAUUUUCAGGGGCUCUUCCCCAAUCAAUCCUGAUCUCUAUUAACCUUGAAUGAAUCCAUAGCCUUUCUCUUCCCCAACACAAUACAGCUUAAUUUUAAAGUUAAGACAUUCAUAAAGUAUCUAGGUUGGUUCAAUUCAGCAGUCCCUUUUAAAACCCCAUUACUCUCAGCAGCUGCCCAUGGCCCAUCAGCAUUCAAAAAACUCAGAGUUAACACAGCACUAUAUAGGAUCCAGACUCACUGUGUAUUUUCCAUCUUUACAUAGCUUUUUCCGUUUGUAUUACUUUACUCUUUCUUUAAAGACUUUACUAUUAUUUAUAAACUGUUUACUUUUUCUGUGACUGUCUAUACCCAUUUUCUUUUCUUUCUUAAGCCUACACACAUUGUUAAAGACAUUGCAGUAACUGGGUUUUUUUUCCCCUAUCAGGAUCUGUUUUAAUUGUGUCUCUAUCAUUUUCUAACCACAUGAGCCAAACUUUAAACUGCUAAGUGGCUUUGCACUCGUGGCUUUGGUGGCUGGCUCUACCCCACUCAGGCCCCCAAGCCUGGUGAGAGCUGCCUUCAACUGGUAACUUCAUCUAACUACCCCAGCUCUAGGAAGCUGGUGCCUUGCACUGAGGCAGGUGUUUUUACUUAGCUUUUUGUUUCUACUUAACAUACUGGCUUUUUUUUUUUUCUUCAACUAUCUCAGGUUCUAUGUGGAAAUUUGGGCCCCACAUUGGACCACCAAAUGUACCAGGCUAUUUCUUUUAAGCUACCAACCAGCUCCCAAAUCAUGACAAUGGAGACUUAUAAUUAGUUAAGAAUACUUGGCCUUAGCUUAGGCUCAUUUCUUACUGGCUCUCAUAAUUUAAAUUAACCUAUUUCUCCUUAUCUUUGUUUUUUCACCUUGGGGUUUUUUACUUUUCUUUCCUUCUGUAUGUCUUACUCCAUCUAGGUGCCUAGCUGGCCCUGGGUGUGUCCCUCUCUUUCUCUCUCAUGCUCCCCUCCUUCUUCUCUCUUUUCAAGUCUAGAUUUCUCCUGCUAUUUUUCCCUUGGUCGGCCAGCAUCUCCUAUCCUUCUCCUGCCUGACUAUUGGCUGUUGCAGGUUCCUUAGGCAGGCAAGCUGAAACAGCAACACAUUUUUACAUAAUUAAACAAAUGCAGCUUAAAUAAAUGUAACACACCUUUACACAGUUAAAGUAAUAUUCCAAAGCAUAAACAAAUGUAACACAUCUUUG
ensembl:lncRNA